rnacentral:rRNA from 1 species
CUACGGGUUGCAGCAGUGGGGAAUAUUGGGCAAUGGGCGAAAGCCUGACCCAGCAACGCCGCGUGAAGGAAGAAGGCUUUCGGGUCGUAAACUUCUAUCCUAGGUGAAGAUAAUGACGGUAGCCUAGAAGGAAGCCCCGGCUAACUACGUGCCAGCAGCCGCGGUAAUACGUAGGGGGCAAGCGUUGUCCGGAAUGAUUGGGCGUAAAGGGCGCGUAGGCGGCCAUGUAAGUCCGAUGUGAAAGUCCUGCUUUUAAGGUGGGAAUUGCAUUGGAAACUGGAGGGCUUGAGUGCAGGAGAGGUAGGUGGAAUUCCCGGUGUAGCGGUGAAAUGCGUAGAGAUCGGGAGGAACACCAGUGGCGAAGGCGACUUACUGGACUGUAACUGACGCUGAGGCGCGAAAGUGUGGGGAGCAAACAGGAUUAGAUACCCUUGUAGUC